rnacentral:rRNA from 1 species
AGCUCCAAUAGCGUAUAUUAAAGUUGCUGCAGUUAAAAAGCUCGUAGUUGCAUUUCCGACGCAAGGGAUUAGUCCGACCUUUGGUGGGUAUUUAAUCCUCUUGCCUCGUCCUUGAGUGGUGCUUCUUGGUAUUAAGUUAUCGAGGAGAUAGCCGCUCAUCGUUUACUGUGAGAAAAUUAGAGUGUUCAAAGCAGGCUUAUGCCGUUGAAUAUAUUAGCAUGGAAUAAUAAGAUAGGACCUCGGUACUAUUUGGUUGGUUUGAGAACCAAGGUAAUGAUGAAUAGGGACAGUUGGGGGUAUUCGUAUUCAGUUGUCAGAGGUGAAAUUCUUAGAUUUACGGAAGACGAACUACUGCGAAAGCAUUUACCAAGGAUGUUUUCA